rnacentral:lncRNA from 1 species
CUUCCCGCUAUUUUUUCAGUUGGUUUUCGCGUGAGUGGCUGUUGUUAAAAAUGUCUAUCGAGAAGAUUGGUGGUAUUGUCUAAGUAGCUCUGUACGUUAGAGGUAAUACUGACCUCCGGAGAAAAGUGCCUUUGAGAUUAACAAUUUCUAAAUGUGUCAAGUCUUCCUCCGUACCAAAGUUUUUCACUAUUUGACUGCGACACAUUGUUACACAUACAGUUAAACAGCGGAGAUACGGUGCUGUCAAGAAUAGUUAUAUCUUCAUCUAGGUGCCAAAUCACCAUCGCAAGUAUAGGUUAUGCCAAAGAGUUGUGAAGGCGACAGUGCCUUGCAAUCAGUCAGCUGUCAGUAAUACCAUCGUUUCUAUUCAUAGAAGAAGAAGAGGCUGGAGCACUGCGCGCGCCUUCAAUUUUUACGCAUGCAACACGCACAUCCAUGGAACACGAAUAGUUGCGUCAAGUAUGAAGGUGCUGCCAGCUGUCUCGAACGUUACAUUUCCGUAUUCAUCUGCGAGAUGUUGCCUAUCAAAGGAAUUGGCAACACUGCUAUGGCGGCGCUUCACGGUGAUAAAUCCUAGAGUUUUCCUGCUUUCGCAAGUGACGCGACUCCACGCGACUGCGUAGUACACAAAGGAGGAGCGACGGAGUAACCGCAUUUUUGCGGAAUGCAAAAUGCGAAUUGACGCGACUAAACAGUGUUGCAAACCUACGGAAAAUUAUCUUAAUUUUUUAUCUAUAA